rnacentral:rRNA from 1 species
AUGAACGCUAGCGGCAGGCUUAACACAUGCAAGUCGAGGGGCAGCGAGAUUGAAGCUUGCUUCAAUUGUCGGCGACCGGCGGACGGGUGCGUAACGCGUAUGCAACCUACCCAUAACAGGGGGAUAACACUGAGAAAUUGGUACUAAUACCCCAUAACAUCUCGAGUGGCAUCACUUGGGGUUGAAAGCUUCGGUGGUUAUGGAUGGGCAUGCGUUGUAUUAGCUAGUUGGUGAGGUAACGGCUCACCAAGGCGACGAUACAUAGGGGGACUGAGAGGUUAACCCCCCACAUUGGUACUGAGACACGGACCAAACUCCUACGGGAGGCAGCAGUGAGGAAUAUUGGUCAAUGGACGGAAGUCUGAACCAGCCAUGCCGCGUGCAGGAUGACGGCUCUAUGAGUUGUAAACUGCUUUUGUACGAGGGUAAACCCGAAUACGUGUAUUCGGCUGAAAGUAUCGUACGAAUAAGGAUCGGCUAACUCCGUGCCAGCAGCCGCGGUAAUACGGAGGAUCCAAGCGUUAUCCGGAUUUAUUGGGUUUAAAGGGUGCGUAGGCGGUUAGAUAAGUUAGAGGUGAAAUUCCGGUGCUUAACACCGGCGCUGCCUCUAAUACUGUUUGACUAGAGAGUAGUUGCGGUAGGCGGAAUGUAUGGUGUAGCGGUGAAAUGCUUAGAGAUCAUACAGAACACCGAUUGCGAAGGCAGCUUACCAAGCUAUAUCUGACGUUGAGGCACGAAAGCGUGGGGAGCAAACAGGAUUAGAUACCCUGGUAGUCCACGCAGUAAACGAUGAUAACUCGUUGUCGGCGAUACAAUGUCGGUGACUAAGCGAAAGCGAUAAGUUAUCCACCUGGGGAGUACGUUCGCAAGAAUGAAACUCAAAGGAAUUGACGGGGGCCCGCACAAGCGGUGGAGCAUGUGGUUUAAUUCGAAGCAACGCGAAGAACCUUACCAGGUCUUGACAUCGAUCUAAAGGCUCCAGAGAUGGAGAGAUAGUUAUAGAGAAGACAGGUGGUGCAUGGUUGUCGUCAGCUCGUGCCGUGAGGUGUCGGGUUAAGUCCCAUAACGAGCGCAACCCCUACCGUUAGUUGCCAUCAGGUAAAGCUGGGCACUCUAGCGGGACUGCCGGUGUAAGCCGAGAGGAAGGUGGGGAUGACGUCAAAUCAGCACGGCCCUUACGUCCGGGGCUACACACGUGUUACAAUGGUAGGUACAGAGGGCAGCUACCCUGCGAAGGGAUGCGAAUCUCGAAAGCCUAUCUCAGUUCGGAUUGGAGGCUGAAACCCGCCUCCAUGAAGUUGGAUUCGCUAGUAAUCGCGCAUCAGCCAUGGCGCGGUGAAUACGUUCCCGGGCCUUGUACACACCGCCCGUCAAGCCAUGGGAGCUGGGGGUGCCUGAAGUUCGUGACCGCAAGGAGCGACCUAGGGCAAAACCGGUAACUGGGGCU